rnacentral:rRNA from 1 species
CUACGGGUCGCUGCAGUGAGGAAUAUCGCACAAUGGGGGGAACCCUGAUGCAGCAACGCCGCGUGGAGGAUGACGCAUUUCGGUGUGUAAACUCCUUUUAUAUGUCAAGAAAAUGACGGUAGCAUAUGAAUAAGCACCGGCUAACUCCGUGCCAGCAGCCGCGGUAAUACGGAGGGUGCAAGCGUUACUCGGAAUCACUGGGCGUAAAGGACGCGUAGGCGGGUUGGAAAGUCAGGUGUGAAAUCCUACAGCUUAACUGUAGAACUGCACUUGAAACUUCUAAUCUAGAGUAUGGGAGGGGGAGAUGGAAUUAGUGGUGUAGGGGUAAGAUCCGUAGAUAUCACUAGGAAUACCUAAAGCGAAGGCGAUCUCCUGGAACAUUACUGACGCUAAGGCGUGAAAGCGUGGGGAGCAAACAGGAUUAGAUACCCUAGUAGUC